GACGAACGCUGGCGGCGUGCUUAACACAUGCAAGUCGAACGGAAAGGCCCUGCUUUUGUGGGGUGCUCGAGUGGCGAACGGGUGAGUAACACGUGAGUAACCUGCCCCUGACUUUGGGAUAACUUCAGGAAACUGGGGCUAAUACCGGAUAGGAGCUCCUGCUGCACGGUGGGGGUUGGAAAGUUUCGGCGGUUGAGGUUGGACUCGCGGCUUAUCAGCUUGUUGGUGGGGUAGUGGAUUACCAAGGAUUUGACGGGUAGCCGGCCUGAGAGGGCGACCGGGCACAGAGGGACAGGGGUGGGGCCCGUACUCAUACGGGAGGCAGCGGUGGGGACUAUAGCGCGAAGGGCGGAGGCCUGGUGCAGCGACGCCGCGUGCGGGAUGACGGCCUUCGGGUUGUAAACCGCUUUCGCCUGUGACGAAGCGUGAGUGACGGUAAUGAGUAAAGAAGCACCGGCUACUACGUG
rnacentral:rRNA from 1 species